AUACCACCACCUCGUAGCGACGUGACACAAAGAGGUUUCCUCUCUAGGAACCUGCCGCCCCUUUCCAGGGUUGGGGGUAGCCAAGGGAGACCAGGGAGGACCUCCCAGCAACGCUUCCCUGAAGACAUCCACGCUGUGUGACCUGAGAAAAGUGGCUCAACUUCUCUGGAGAGGAAACCUUCAGAGGGGUCAGAUCACCUGGAAACUCCCCCUGGGGCUGGGGGCUCGGGCCGCCUGAGGACUCGGGAGACCUGCCCCGGCCGCGCCACCCCUCCCGGACUCUUGCCCAGAGGCACUCACGGCUCAGGGGGCCCGGGCCCCACUCGGGCCCCUCUCGGGCCCGCACUGCUCGGCCCGGCGCGCCGCGGCCUCCGCCUCCUCCAUGCCGUUCGCGGCCCCGCCCCGGCCCGGCCCGGCCCGCCUCCCCGCUUCCGCCGCCGCCGCCGCGGGGUGAGAGGGCGGCGGGCGGCGCUUAGGGCGGCGGAGACGAGUGUCAGCAGCCCGCGAGUGCCGCGAAUAUUCAGCAGCCCCCGGCUCGCAACCAGCGGGCGGGGUGGCUGCUGGGGGAGAGCAGAUCCGCGCCCCCCCCCCCCCACUCCCGAUGUCUUGGUCCCCAGCAUCGCCGAUGGCAAACUGGAUUAAAGUCGGAGUCCUAGAGCUUUGGACUAGACCACUCGGGAUUCCAGGGUCAUAGGGCCUACAGGCCUCGGACACAGCUACCUGCUCCCCUUGCUUGGCCAAGGCUGCAUGCACCUAGGUCUAGGAUCUCUUUUGGGGUUCCCUUCCUUGGUGAAUGACAGCAGGAACAGCUGAAAUCCUCCUUGACUCCUCAUCUCCAACAACCAGCCGAGGUGUCUUUACUCACCAGCAUACUCUCUGCACCACGCGCAAUGGCUAGCAAAUGGUAGAUGCUCCAUAAUAUUUAUUGAAAUCACUCGUUUCCUGAGCAAAUACUCAUGAAUGCCACUAUAAACAAAUAAAUGUAACCAGUCACCAA